CGACGAUUUCCGGUUGAUCCUGCCAGAGGCCACUGCUAUCGGAGUUCGAUUAAGCCAUGCGAGUCGAGAGGUGCAAGACCUCGGCAUACUGCUCAGUAACACGUGGACAAUCUAACCUAUGGAAGGGGAUAACCCCGGGAAACUGGGGAUAAUACCCUAUAGACUAUGGAUGCUGGAAUGCUUUGUAGUCGAAAGGUCCGCCGCCAUAGGAUGGGUCUGCGGCCGAUUAGGUUGUUGUUGGGGUAACGGCCCAACAAGCCUGUAAUCGGUACGGGUUGUGGGAGCAAGAGCCCGGAGAUGGAUUCUGAGACACGAAUCCAGGCCCUACGGGGCGCAGCAGGCGCGAAAACUUUGCAAUGCGGGAAACCGUGACAGGGGAACUCCGAGUGCCCGCAAAAUCGGGCUGUCCAUCAGUGUAAAUAACUGGUGAAGAAAGGGCCGGGCAAGACCGGUGCCAGCCGCCGCGGUAAUACCGGCGGCUCGAGUGGUGGCCACUAUUACUGGGCUUAAAGCGUUCGUAGCUGGUUUGUUAAGUCUCUGGGGAAAUCUUCCGGC
rnacentral:rRNA from 1 species